ACAGCAGCCGCCGCGGUAAUACGGAGGGUGCAAGCGUUAAUCGGAAUUACUGGGCGUAAAGCGCACGCAGGCGGUCUGACAAGUCAGAUGUGAAAUCCCCGGGCUUAACCUGGGAACUGCAUUUGAAACUGUCAGGCUGGAGUCUUGUAGAGGGGGGUGGAAUUCCAGGUGUAGCGGUGAAAUGCGUAGAGAUCUGGAGGAAUACCGGUGGCGAAGGCGGCCCCCUGGACAAAGACUGACGCUCAGGUGCGAAAGCGUGGGGAGCAAACAGGAUUAGAUACCCGCGUAGUCCCUGUCUCUUAUAA
rnacentral:rRNA from 1 species